rnacentral:lncRNA from 1 species
GUGGAUCUGAGUUUUGAAAUAUCUAGCAGCAAAGAUUGUGAAUGAUGCCCUUCACAGAAUACAUGUAGAGCAAUCCUAAUCCAAAAUAUGCAAAAUGCUCCAAAGGUCCAAAACUUUUUGAGUGCAAACAUGCUAUCAUGGGUGGAAAAUUCCACAACCAAUCUCAUAUGAAGGGUUGCACCAAGAUAUGGGCACACUAAAAAUUAUCUUCAGGCUAUGUGUAUAAGGUGUAUAGAGAAUAGAAAUUAAUUUAGAUUUGGGUCCCAUUUCCAAGCAUUCUCAUUAUGUGUAUGCAAAUAUUCCAAAAUUCUAAAAAAUCUGAAAUCUGAAAUACUUCUGGUCCUGAGCAUUUCAGAUAAUGGAUACUCAACCUGUAUCUAAGCAAAGACAAGCAGAAAAUCAUCGCUAACAUUUAUUGAGUGCUAUGGUAAGUACUUCAACACUUUAUCUUAUUUCUCACAACCCUAAUUGGCAGAUACUAUUAUUAUUCCAGUACUCAGUAUACCUGUAAAAACAAAAACCUGAGGUAUAAAGGAAGAAGAUCUUGGUAUCUUAAAAAUCACAGGAUAGAUUUGCACUCAACUCUGUGUGAGUCCACAGCCAGAGGUUGUUUCGCCACUCUGCUAAAAAUUCAUCAGAAGAAGUAUCUUCAACCAGAGUAUUUAUGGGUUUUACUAGGAUAUCUCGCUUAGAAGUGUACUAUGCAAAGUAUUUACC